ensembl:lncRNA
GCACCACCUGCCCCUGGUCCUCAGGUGAUCGGGCUCCUUCAUUUGCCAGGUGCCCGUGGGAGGGCAGUGGGCAUAGUUACCUGGAACUGCAGUAGGGUCUGCAGGGCCACCUAGGAGGACUGGGAGGUGACCACUCGGGUGCCUCACCAGAUUCCUGUCAGCUGAUGACAGAGCAGGGGCCUCGUCCCAGCCCCCUCGCCCUCAUCCGUCCUUUCCCACAGGCAUGGUCCUGGGCACCCUGUUUGUCGGUGGCUCCCUGGUGGCUGGACAGCAGCUGACAGGGGGAGACCUCAUGUCCUUCCUGGUGGCCUCCCAGACAGUUCAGAGGUGAGUGAGGCCAUUCCUGUUCCUCCAGAGCACUGCCUGGGUGGAACAGGGGUCCCCACGAUGCUCUGGGGGCUGCCCCCCCGGAAGAGCCCCAGGCCAGUUCCCUGGCUCUACACCCAAGAUGCAGUUGGCAUCCUAACCUUCUACAUAGUCACAGAUAUCCUUGUCAACCCUUUUUUGUUGGUUCAGUUUUGGGUUUUUGAGACCAAAUCUCACUAAUGUAGUCUGGGCUGGCCUUGAACUCACUAUGUAGCCAAGGCUGGUCUUGAACUCUUGGUGACCUUCCUGCCUCAGCCUUCUGAGGCAUGCACCACCACAUCCAGUUUAAAAUUUUUCAUUAUGUUAAGUCCACAUCAGGUUAACCUUACCCUCCUGACAAUUUUAAGCCACGGUUGAGUCGUGGUCAAGCAGGUUGACAGUGUCACACAGCCGUCAUCAGCACCGGCCUCUCGAAAAGUGAGCCAGCACCCACUGAACACUGGCCCGGUCCUCCCUCUGCAGUCCUGGUACUGCCUUGUCCUCUUGGCAUCUCUGACUCCGAUUCUGUCUGCUCUGGUGGGGACCACAAGGCAGUCACACACCAUUCAUCCUUCUGGGGUUGGGGACCUCAACUAGUCUCUCUGUCCUCUGAAGGCCAAGUGGUGCUCUCAGUGUGUGAUAAGCUCUUUAAGGGCUGCCCUGUCCUCUUCCUGACCAUUUCCUGAGAUGGGAAGUGGCCCCGCGCCCCUGCCAGUCCCACCCUACUGCCGUUUCCCACUCUGCCCUUCCCCCACACUUAGCGAGACUAAUACGUAAAUACAAAAUUUACGGGGAAUUACUGGGAAAAAUAACUAAAGAGUGGCUGUGCUAUAAUAAGUGAUUAGAGUGAAAACUGUAUUACCAUCAGCCAAGUCAUCAAAUAAACGUCACCUUAGGUGGCUCCUGCCCCAGGUCCCUCCCCCACUGGUACCCACCCUCCAUCUGGAGGUGAUUCUGGUGGUGCCCCUGUCCCUGCCCAGAGUCUAUCUUGCCACUGUUGUAUGUUUGUGGUAUUUGGGAGGUUUUUUUCAGAUAGUCCCACUGUGCAACCAAGCCUGGCCUUGAACUUGCAGCAAUCCUCCUGCCUCAGCCUCCCGAGUGCUACGAUGACAGGCAUGCACCACCCACACCUGGCUUGUGGUUUUUUACAGACUCUCAUAUCCUGGGCUUACUGUGCUAACUCAGAGGAAGAGGAGACAGACUCCGUUAUCACCCCAGACAGAAGCACCCUUUCUUGGCCCAUGCAGCGUCCUGCAAGGCACAUUGGCCCCAUCUCUGUGGCUACACAAUCCCCACCCCUGCCCUGCUACCCCCUACCCCCAACCUUGCAUGCUUGAAGCCUCUCUUGUCCUGGGUGGCUCCUCCCUCCUCCAGCCUGGGAACUGUUCCCUGGGGUUAGGAUCCAGAUACUCUGACCGCAGGGAGAGGUGGAGCUGGGUGUCUUCUGCUCUCCACACACCAUGUGCUGCGCCCCCAGUGCUGACCCAGUUUCCUGAACAGCCAUGUUUGGCCUCUCCAAGCAGGAUGAUGUUUCUAUCCUGAGGACCCCCCCAGGAAACCUGCCAGCCCCCUUAAAAUCAGCCCUGGGCUUACUCCCUGAGCCCCUGUCCCCUCUCUGGCCUGAGGACAGACUUGUCAUCUCCCCACUUCGUUGCUCAGCUGUUUAGCAGAAUUAGGAUCAAGCUGCAGUAGCACCCGGGCCCCGUCAGGCACCUGCACAAAUCAGGGAGCUGCUGUUUCCUUCUGAUUGUACAUGCAGCCAGGGGCACGCAUGUCAGUCAAGGGGGACAUGGGGACACCAGGGCAGCCCCAACCUUUGGGCCCAUCCCAAGUGUCCUUUUGGCAGCACUGGGGCCAGGCCCCACCUGGGCAGAUCACAGCCCCGCAUCCUGCGGUAUCUCUAAGCAAGGUCAUCCCGCAGCAGCAAUGAGUCAUGCGCGUCUUGGGCUCUUCCAGUGGCGGCCCCUUUGCCAGGCCAUAAUGGCUUCCAGAGCUCAGUGGAGCUCCCCCCGCCCCCAGAUAAUUCUGGGCUCCUCCCCUGCCCUGUCUCCCCACUCUUCCCUCCAAGUGCAGAUUGCUUCCUGCCAGUACCAUUUCCUGUGAGCGCUAGGGAUCCUCCCUGCCCCCACACUGGAAGAAGUGAGUCCCUCUGCCCAAGAGUCACUGGGGAGUCAGCCUUUUCUCUUCUCAGAGCAGACCCUGCUUACUCCGUGGUGCACACACGGUCAUGGGUCAGCAGCCGGCCAGUCGAGGACCCAUGAGUAAGCAGCUGUUGACUCAUCUUCCUCCCUAGCAUACCAGCCCUAUCCCCAGCCCUGCUGGGACAAAGGGAGGUGACCCACUGUCUAGACAGAUAAACACCCAUCCAUCUCCCACACUUGCACACCUGCAGGCCAGCCCACAGUACACAUUUGGUCGGGGAGUUUUGUUUUGGGGUAUCCCCAGAGUUCUCCCCUGUGACCCCCCGUGUCUUUGUUUUCUUUCUCUAAACAGACUUCACUUCCUUUGUGUUUGUUUGUUUUCUGAGAUGAGGUCUUAGGUCUCACCUCCCACUGUAGGCCACACUAUCUGGAUCUCUGCCAAGAGCAUCUAUGUUGUCACUGGGGCCCAGGCAGGGGGUCGUGGGGUGAGCAAGGGUCCCUCCUCCUGAACCUCUGUCAUCCCUUGUGCUGUGAGCCACCUUCACCCUGCACCCUGGGGUCAGGGUGGCACACUGAUACCUUCCUAGGCCCCAUCCCGUGCCCACUGCCUCCUGGAGCUCCCUCCUGGGUCCUGGGAUAAGUCAGGUUCUCUCUCAGUUGUCACCUCACACCACCCAGGAGGGGGCCGAGGGCUCAGCGGACUUGUGUCCUGAGGUCCCACGUUCCUGCAGUCCCAGGUCUGGGGAGACAUCUCUGCACUUGGCCUCAAGUCCCCUAUAUUCCCUUGUGUCCCUCGCUGUGUCCUUCCUCUCUGCCUCUUGUCCCCACCUCUCCCAACCCCUCUCCUCCCCGCAGGUCCAUGGCCAACCUCUCUGUUCUGUUUGGUCAGGUGGUGCGGGGCCUCAGUGCAGGCACCCGAGUCUUCGAGUACAUGGCCCUGAGUCCCUGCAUCCCGCUGUCAGGGGGCCACAGCCUCCCCAGGGAACAGCUGCAUGGCUCUGUCACUUUCCAGGAUGUCAGCUUCAGCUACCCCUGCCGACCUGGCUUUGAGGUGCUGAAGGACUUCACCCUGAUGCUGCCCCCUGGCAAGAUCGUGGCCCUUGUGGGCCAGUCUGGGGGAGGAAAGACCACGGUGGCUUCC